rnacentral:rRNA from 1 species
UACGUAGGGGGCAAGCGUUGUCCGGAUUUAUUGGGCGUAAAGAGCGUGUAGGCGGCUAGGUAGGUCCGUUGUGAAAACUCGAGGCUCAACCUCGAGACGCCGAUGGAAACCAUCUAGCUAGAGUCCGGAAGAGGAGAGUGGAAUUCCUGGUGUAGCGGUGAAAUGCGCAGAUAUCAGGAAGAACACCCGUGGCUAAGGCGGCUCACUGGGCCGGUACUGACGCUGAGGUGCGAAAGCGUGGGGAGCAAACAGG